CACCGGGUAAACGGACACAGAUCGGCUUUCCUUUCCAAAAAAUUAGACGCCGCAUUACCGACUUAAAAAGAUGUCCCAAGUAACGUCAACCGAGUGUAUCAUCCAAAAGUAUGCCCUAGACGUUUUCCAAAAAACUAAAGACAAGAAGCAGAAGAAAAUCUCACCGCAGUCUCUGCAUUUCCAAAUACGUUGGAAAAACUCGCCGCCCCAUACUAAAGAAGAAACCAAUGGCCAUUUAAAACACCCCGAGUCCAAGUCCUUCACAAUUAAUGACUUGGUGGCCCACAAGGAAGACAGGGUGGUCAUUACGGUCACCGAUGAGGACCAUCGUUUCCUCAAAACUAUUGAGGGAAACGUGGCAGACAUUUUGAAGUACUCAGAGUCCCAGUCUGACAAAUCUUAAAUGAGGACCAAAGUAGUUUUGUGUGGAGCAAAAUUAGGAAAGAACUUCAAGUGCAGAAUUGACACAAACAGUCUUUCUCCCGGUGGAAAGUAAACACACAACGAAUAUAAUAAGUGAACAAUCAACUAAAUUCUCUCUCAGAUAAGAUUUAAUCAAAAUUUAGCUAUAUUUCAUUGGAUUAAUGAAAGUGAAUUCUUGUAUACUGUGACAUUCAAAAUUGGAAUAUAAAAUGAAAAAUUUGUCUGAAAUAGAAAAAGAUACCCCACUGACUUAUACACAGAUCAGAACACAAGAGGACUACAGUGAAAGAAACAAAUGCAUGACCAUUGUAAGGUUGAGGUACACUAAGCUUUUGCCUCCAAUUGAAUUGUGCCAUAUUUAUUCAACUUAUGAGCUAGAUUUACCCAUGGGUGUGUUUUUGGUGACUUGUCUCACUAUUCAACAACAGCCUUCGGGUCUGAAAUGUCUCAUUUAACUUGACUACUAGUAAAUCAUAUAUUGUCAUAAAGGCACCUAAAAGACAACUAAAAUUGUGAACAUGCAAUACCGUUCUAAAAUGCCAUAAAACUGAUGGCUAAUAUUUUGUCAAGUUAAAUUCAUUCUUUUGCACUACUGUAAUAAAUAUAUAUCUUUUGAAAGCAA